rnacentral:rRNA from 1 species
GACGAACGCUGGCGGCGUGCUUAACACAUGCAAGUCGAACGGAAAGGCCCUGCUUUUGUGGGGUGCUCGAGUGGCGAACGUGUGAGUAACACGUGAGUAACCUGCCCUUGACUUUGGGAUAACUUCAGGAAACUGGGGCUAAUACCGGAUAGGAGCUCCUGCUGCAUGGUGGGGUUUGGAAAGUUUCGGCGGUUGGGGAUGGACUCGCGGCUUAUCAGCUUGUUGGUGGGGUAGUGGCUUACAAAGGCUUUGACGGGUAGCCGGCCUGAGAGGGUGACCGGCCACAUUGGGACUGAGAUACGGCCCAGACUCCUACGGGAGGCAGCAGUGGGGAAUAUUGCACAAUGGGCGGAAGCCUGAUGCAGCAACGCCGCGUGCGGGAUGACGGCCUUCGGGUUGUAAACCGCUUUCGCCAGUGACGAAGCGUGAGUGACGGUAAUGGGUAAAGAAGCACCGGCUAACUACGUG